GGAGGAUUAGCUCAGUUGGGAGAGCGUCUGCCUUACAAGCAGAGGGUCACAGGUUCGAGCACUGUAUCCUCCA
rnacentral:tRNA from 1 species